AUAUUUUUAGGUCAGUCGAUUAAAACAGGCUGGUGGCAACACCCCAUCAACAAUAAUAAAUGGCUUUAGACGAAACAAUGACAAGACAGGUACAAGCUAAAUUUAGCAAGGUUGGAAAUAAUGGAAAGCGACCGUUUAAGGAUACCUUAUUGUACAAGGCUUUACUUAGUGCUUUGGUGACAGAAAAAAUUCAAAAAGGAAAUGUUGAUCAACUAAUUGGCGAUCAUUUAAAGAGAGCCCCGAGGGCAGAAGUAAAAAAAUAAUUGAGAUUUGUUUAUAUUCUUCCAUACCUCUUUGAAAUAAUAUAUAAAAUUUAAAUUAUUAUUGUGUAUUUUUUAUAUAAAAACAUUUAUAAUGCUGUUAUUAAUAUAAUGAU